rnacentral:rRNA from 1 species
UACGAAGGGGGCUAGCGUUGCUCGGAAUCACUGGGCGUAAAGGGUGCGUAGGCGGGUCUUUAAGUCAGGGGUGAAAUCCUGGAGCUCAACUCCAGAACUGCCUUUGAUACUGAAGAUCUUGAGUGCGGGAGAGGUGAGUGGAACUGCGAGUGUAGAGGUGAAAUUCGUAGAUAUUGGGAAGAACACCGAUGGCGAAGGCAGCCAUCUGGACCGACACUGACGCUGAGGCGCGAAAGCGUGGGGAGCAAACAGG